rnacentral:tRNA from 1 species
GCUGCGGGUUCGAGCCCC